CCUGAAACCGUGUACGUACAAGCAGUAGGAGCACCUUCGUGGUGUGACUGCGUACCUUUUGUAUAAUGGGUCAGCGACUUAUAUUCAGUGGCAAGGUUAACCAUCUAGGGGAGCCGUAGGGAAACCGAGUCUUAACUGGGCGUUCAGUCUCUGGAUAUAGACCCGAAACCAGGUGAUCUAGCCAUGGGCAGGUUGAAGGUUGAGUAACAUCAACUGGAGGACCGAACCGACUAAUGUUGAAAAAUUAGCGGAUGACUUGUGGCUAGGGGUGAAAGGCCAAUCAAACCUGGAGAUAGCUGGUUCUCCCCGAAAGCUAUUUAGGUAGCGCCUCGGACGAAUACUACUGGGGGUAGAGCACUGUUAAGGCUAGGGGGUCAUCCCGACUUACCAACCCUUUGCAAACUCCGAAUACCAGUAAGUACUAUCCGGGAGACACACGGCGGGUGCUAACGUCCGUCGUGGAGAGGGAAACAACCCAGACCGCCAGCUAAGGUCCCAAAUUACUACUAAGUGGGAAACGAUGUGGGAAGGCUCAGACAGCCAGGAUGUUGGCUUAGAAGCAGCCAUCAUUUAAAGAAAGCGUAAUAGCUCACUGGUCGAGUCGGCCUGCGCGGAAGAUGUAACGGGGCUAAGUAGUAAACCGAAGCUGCGGCAAUAUACUUUUGUAUAUUGGGUAGGGGAGCGUUCUGUAAGCGGUUGAAGGUGUGUGGUAACGCAUGCUGGACGUAUCAGAAGUGCGAAUGCUGACAUGAGUAACGAUAAAGGGGGUGAAAAACCUCCUCGCCGGAAGACCAAGGGUUCCUGUCCAACGUUAAUCGGGGCAGGGUAAGUCGACCCCUAAGGCGAGGCCGAAAGGCGUAGUCGAUGGGAAACGGGUUAAUAUUCCCGUACUUCUUACAAUUGCGAUGGGGGGACGGAGAAGGCUAGGUGGGCCUGGCGACGGUUGUCCAGGUUCAAGUGCGUAGGCUUGAGAGUUAGGUAAAUCCGGCUCUU
rnacentral:rRNA from 1 species